rnacentral:rRNA from 1 species
AACCAGCACCUCAAGUGGUCAGGAUGAUUAUUGGGCCUAAAGCAUCCGUAGCUCGUUUUGUAAGUUUUCGGUUAAAUCCAUACGCUUAACGUAUGGGCUGCCGGGAAUACUGCGAAGCUUGGGACCGGGAGAGGUUGACGGUAUUCCUUGGGGAGCGGUAAAAUGUUAUAAUCCAAGGAGGACCACCAAUGGCGAAGGCAGUCAGCCAGAACGGAUCCGACGGUGAGGGAUGAAAGCUAGGGGAGCAAAAGGGAUUAGAAACCCGGGUAGU